rfam:Medicago truncatula strain A17 chromosome 2, whole genome shotgun sequence.
AUAUAAGCAAAAUUCCAUAUUUUAGAUUCAUUCAUUAAAUGAUGUAUGUAGUCUUUAUUGUAGAUAACAUACAUCAUUUAUUGAAUGAAUCUAAAAUAUGGUUUUUUGCUUAUAC